rnacentral:rRNA from 1 species
GACGGACGCUGGCGGCGUGCUUAACACAUGCAAGUCGAACGCGCCUGUCCUCUGGGUUUCUGGGGGGUGGGUGAGUGGCGAACGGGUGAGUAACACGUGAGUAACCUGCCCCCUUCUUCGGGAUAACGGUCUGAAAGGGCUGCUAAUACCGGGUAUUCACUGGUCUCCGCAUGGGGUCUGGUGGAAAGGUUUUUUUCUGGUGGGGGAUGGGCUCGCGGCCUAUCAGCUUGUUGGUGGGGUGAUGGCCCACCAAGGCUUUGACGGGUAGCCGGCCUGAGAGGGUGACCGGUCACAUUGGGACUGAGCUACGGCCCAGACUCCUACGGGAGGCAGCAGUGGGGAAUAUUGCACAAUGGGCGCAAGCCUGAUGCAGCGACGCCGCGUGAGGGAUGGAGGCCUUCGGGUUGUGAACCUCUUUCGCCCGUGGUCAAGCCGCGACGUGGGUCGUGGUGAGGGUAGUGGGUAAAGAAGCGCCGGCUAACUACGUG